rnacentral:sRNA from 1 species
CUGGCUCUCUCUCGUUAGAGGGAUGCCACCGCCCUGUCCUCACAUCCUCGGCGUUGCCUUCCCCUCCCUCUUUUCCACUGACGCCUUGAAAACCCUUAUUUGCGCAUUCACUCACGCUUGAGGUCACUCUCUGAAAGAGAACAAAGUAAUUUUCUGAAGGGAAGCUGCAGAAUAUGGAAAACAUAUAUUGGAGCUACAUGGAC